rnacentral:rRNA from 1 species
GACGAACGCUGGCGGCGUGCUUAACACAUGCAAGUCGUACGGUAAGGCCCUUUCGGGGGUCCACGAGUGGCGAACGGGUGAGUAACACGUGAGUAACCUGCCCACAACUUUGGGAUAACGCUAGGAAACUGGUGCUAAUACUGGAUAUGUGCGCCUGCUGCAUGGUGGUUGUUGGAAAGCUCCGGCGGUUGUGGAUGGACUCGCGGCCUAUCAGCUUGUUGGUGGGGUAGUGGCCUACCAAGGUGGGGACGGGUAGCCGGCCUGAGAGGGUGACCGGCAAAAUUGGGACUGAGAUACGGCCCAGAAGCAUACGGGAGGCAGCAGUGGGGAAUAUUGCACAAUGGGCGCAAGCCUGAUGCAGCAACGCCGCGGGCGGGAUGACGGCCUUCGGGUUGUAAACCGCUUUCAGCAGGGACGAAGCUUUUUGUGACGGUACCUGCAGAAGAAGCACCGGCUAACUACGUG